rnacentral:lncRNA from 1 species
GGGCUAACCAGAAUAAACAUAAAAGAGUACUCAAUAUAGAACGACCCAAGACAUAUGGGCCUAUAAGGCCAAAAUGAUCACUCGUAAACUGAACAUAGACCGAUAAGGCCGUACUAUCUUUCAUAUACAUACAUAUAUCUACAAGCCUCUGAGGGUAGAUCAAUACCAAAAGGGUCGGGAUAGGACCCCACUAUACUAAUCAAUACACGUUCAAAUAAGCAACUCUGGAGCAAAUAAUCGUACCAACACCUUCCACUGGGACUCUCGACCUGUCUAUCGGCACCUACGAGCAUGAUACGCAGUGUCCCCAGGCAAAAGGAACGUCAGUACAAAUAAUGUACAGAGUAUGUAAGGAAUAAAAAUCAAUAAAUAAUAGACAUGAGAGAAACAUUGAGUAAAAGACUCGACAUGUAAACCUACAUAAAUCUGUGAAUUAUUUAAUAUUUAAAAAGUCAUAUAUAUACAUAUAAAUGUCAUACCUAUAUGUGUAUAUAAUAUCAUCAAGCCGAUGAGGUCAUCCGAUCAUAUUAUCUCGGUCACUGUGGGCAAAAUCAUCAACGUAUACCAGCUGAUUAGGUGGUACUGCUUAUAUAAUACCACAUCCUUUUCCUAUAUAUAUAUAUAUAUAUAUAUAUAUAUAUAUAUAUAUAUACACACACACACACACACACACACACAUACCGUCACACCUCCUUUUUCAUGCCCCUAGAAGGGUAUGAGGGAGUUUUUUCCAAUUUAAGUGACAAUCGAAACGGGAUUAUUUAUUAAAAAUAGAAUCGCCACUUAGGAUAAUUUAUGGUCUCCCAAGUCACCGGUUUAAAAUCCCGAAUCGAGGAAGUUGAUUAUAUUUACGGUCUAUGAACACAGAAAUCCGGAUAAGGAAGUCUGUUAACCCGGGAGAAAGUGUAAGGCAAUCUCGAGUUCUGUAAUUUUAGCACGGUCGCUUUGAUCAUACUUGGCUUAAUCAAAUUGUCUAAUUACUCAUUUUUAGAACCUAUGUGAAUUUGCCUCUUUUAAUUAAGAAAUUAUCUUUAAACAGGUCAUGCGCCCGUGUACCCGUUUGUUCGACGUGUCAAAAAUCAUGUCACGGAAACGUGUCCACAAUUAAUAAUGCUUUAUUAUUAUUAAGAAAGUUCGCCCGAAGUUGUACGAAUGCAUACUCCGAUUUUGUUUUUAAAAUCGUAAGUAUGUCACGUGAACGUGUCCACAAUCACGAAGAUAUAUUAAACAUGCCUAAGCAAUUUUUACAAAUAUUUAUUUUUAAAUCAUAAUCAUGUCAAACGAACGUGUACAAAAUCACAAUGAUAAAUUCGGAGCAUGCCUAAAAGUAGUGAUCGAAAUAAUAAAGGUACACGUGAGACUGGACUAAAUUGUGUGAGCCAAAACGUUUUGUUUCUAGUGUAAAUGCAGUGUGGUUCGGGAGAUGAGGUUUGUAUUUCUGUCAUUGUCUAAAUCACAAAACUAAUAUCAGAAUCUAGUGCCCCAUAAAUUAUGCCAAGCACUAUCUCUCCUAUCCUCUUUUCUUUUCAAGAUGAAACUUUUAAACCUAUCUAACUACAUCUUCAAUCUAGUAAUGCAACAGAGGAACAAUUAGAAACUUAGUAAUAAUAUAUCUAAAGAUGAAUGAAGAGGAAAAUUUACAUGAUUUGUAUCCAACGUGAAUAAGAAUGGUUUCGCCUUUCAACAAAUAUAGAUUUAAUAAUGAUCAAAGGAGACUCGAACAAUUUAUUUGGAGGACUAUAUUGUUUUGAUAUGACUCAAAGAAGGUGUGAAUAUGAAUCAUUCGAAUAAGUGACUAACUUGAGUGGUUAAAAGGAGUUAUAAAUACAAAUCCAAACAUCAUUCAAUCGCACUUCUUUAACAAAUUUAGCUUAGGCUUGAUUCAUAUUCUCAUCAACAACAAAACAUGAGACGAAGGGUAGAAGAUUGUACCUGCUUAGCAAUUUUCUCUAACAACAAAAUGAAGAAAAUCAGCUCCAAACGUGGAGUCUGCAAUCUUGACGGAACAAAAAACUGCAAACGGAUACCUCGGACGGCAUAUCAAUGAACAACUCGACGGACCCGACACAUCGACCUGAACAGAUUCAAUUCGACUGCAUUUGGGUAGUGAUUUCGCGCUGACUUUCGCACUAAUUUGAUGUAUUCGCAAGGAGUUUUGAAGUUGGGUUUACCACUGGGUUCGAACUCUAUUUCUCCAGAUUCAAUGGAAGGUCACCGGAGCUACACUUUUCCGAUCAGAUAUGGUUCUGUCUUGGGCGUGUCCGACUGUUUCUGGGCAGCAAAGAGUGGUGGAACAAGGAUGCAAUGACUCAAGGUCAUUUUUGGCGGGCUGGGGUCAUCGGUUUUGCUACUUGAAAGAGAGAUGGGGGUGGGCGAUGGCUGCUUCUUCGGCGAGUUUGGGCGGAGUCGCUGGCGGCUGAAACUGGUUCUCACAAGGGUGGGCUCAUUGGAAAUUUAGGGGCGCUUUCAGAGAUGGGGUGCAUUGAGAGAGGUGAAGUUUGGGGGGGGG